rnacentral:rRNA from 1 species
UACGUAGGGGGCAAGCGUUGUCCGGAUUUAUUGGGCGUAAAGAGCGUGUAGGCGGCUUGGUAGGUCUCGCGUCAAAACCUGAGGCUCAACCUCAGUUCGCGUGGGAAACCACCUAGCUAGAGUCCGGAAGAGGAGAACGGAAUUCCCAGUGUAGCGGUGAAAUGCGCAGAUAUUGGGAAGAACACCAGUGGCGAAGGCGGUUCUCUGGGACGGUACUGACGCUGAGGCGCGAAAGCGUGGGGAGCGAACAGG